CAUGCAGUUUCUGUUGCAAUUGUAUUGGCCUGGGUUUAGGGAACUGUCAGAACUUUCAGAAGAAGAUGGAGUUUCUCAAACCAAAUAUAAGAAGAUAUCUCACAUUCCCCACAUGGUCUCAAUGCACAGGUAAGUUCUUCUCUAGCUCUGUUUUUCAUUGUUUUUUAUUUUUAAUGUAAAUAAGGAGCAGAGUUAAUCUCUUAUGUUGACCUUGCUUUGAGAAAACUGCUUUUACAUGUAUUUUUAAUUCAGAUGUCCACAAUAAUUUCAUUUUAGUUUGAGCUAAGUGAUAACUGUUGAAGGCUCACUCACUCAUUGGGAGAAGCUCCAUGACGCAGGCUGCUGGGAUUAGCUAGUGCAAUUGCUGUGAAGAGGCACAUUCAUUGGGAGAAAUUAAAUUUUAGAUUUUCUUAGUGUGUAUGUUUGGCUGCGAUUAAAAUGAUUUCUCUCGUUGUUAAUGAUUUCUGAUUAUCCCGUUCUUUAUGGCCAUAAACAGUUUUCCACGGGCUGCAUGUGGCGGCAAAAGAUUCAUGUUGAUAAGGCUAAUGCUAAGUUACAUGCAUGUAACUUAGGGAGAUCCUGUUGAUAAUUAUAUCUUGUGGUAUGUGUGUUGCAUUUGAGCACAUGCAGAAACAGAGCUGAAGGAAAAGCAAUUGACCCUAGAAGAUGUUGCAAAUAUAACAGAAGUAUAUUUCUACUUGCGGUCAAUUUACAUUUGUUUCUUGUGUCAUCCUAUCUCAUUCAUCAUUUUGGACAGAGUUUGGAAAAAAAAAAUUAUACGUAAAUCACUUUCCAAUGGUUCAGUGAUUUUUGAUUGGUUGUAAAAUGUUGAACCUCUUUUCAGAUUUCCAAAUAACUGUUAGAUUGGAGAAGAAUAAGAAGAUAUUAUUAAAAGGAUAUUUAAUUAGCGCUCUCUGAAUUUAGUUGCCAAUAAUGCAUUGAAAUAGUUGGGGAAAGUUAUUAUCUUAAUUAAAUUACAG
rnacentral:lncRNA from 1 species